rnacentral:lncRNA from 1 species
CCUUACUUAAGGCUGCCAUGGGGCCCAGUGCUCCUCUGCUCCUCUUCUUCCUUUUGUCAUGGCCGGGACCCCUUCAGGGACAGCAGCACCACCUUGUGGAGUACAUGGAACGCCGACUAGCUGCCUUAGAGGUGAGGGACUUGUUUCUCUUCUCGACCGCCCGGGAUGAUUCCACGUCUAUAGGUGCAGCUAGUUGUCAGGGCUCUGGGAGUGACAAGAUCGGACUGUGUAAGAAGUCUUUAAUGACGAGUAAGCCUCCUAAUUACAAUUAUUUCCCCAACAUAAAACAGUUGUCCAGCAAAUAAAUGCAACACAUUUCCCUCAGGAUUAGAUGGAAUAAGGGGACGGGAAAUGGGAGUCAGAAUCGGGCUGCAUCUAAGAACUGUCUGGCUAUAUUGUUCAAGCUUCCCAGGCAAUCUGCCUGCAACUUCCUGUCUGUUUCUUCCCCGCACCCCACAUCUGCUCGCUUUUGAAGAGUUUGAAGUCUGUAACAUCCUAAUUUCCAGGAGUCUCAGUUCACUGAGAACACAGGCUGAGGUGAAUUAAGCCAGGUUCUUUGAUAGGGAUGGUAGUACUGACUAGUCUCCUUUGCUGUGGGAGCAUGGCUGAGCUUGUCCCUUUCCUGGUUCCAUCUCCCCGGUAGGGCCUUUGCUUGCCUGGGAGUUAUAGCCCUGCAGCCCGCCCCUUCUCUGGUUUCCCCGGCCCGUCAGGAGCGGCUGGCACAGUGCCA